rnacentral:rRNA from 1 species
GUGUCAGCAGCCGCGGUAAUACGGAGGGUGCGAGCGUUGUCCGGAAUCAUUGGGCGUAAAGGGCGCGUAGGUGGCCCGGUCAGUCAGUGGUGAAAGCGCGGGGCUCAACUCCGCGUCGGCCAUUGAUACUGCUGGGCUGGAGCACUGUAGAGGCAGGCGGAAUUCCGGGUGUAGCGGUGGAAUGCGUAGAGAUCCGGAAGAACACCGGUGGCGAAGGCGGCCUGCUGGGCAGUUGCUGACACUGAGGCGCGACAGCGUGGGGAGCAAACAGGAUUAGAUACCCUCGUAGUCC